rnacentral:rRNA from 1 species
GACGAACGCUGGCGGCGUGCUUAACACAUGCAAGUCGAACGAUGAACUACCAGCUUACUGGUGGGGAUUAGUGGCGAACGGGUGAGUAACACGUGAGUAACCUGCCCUGGACUCUGGGAUAACCCCGAGAAAUCGGAGCUAAUACCGGAUAGGACCUUUCCCUGCAUGGGGUUUGGUGGAAAGUUUUUCGGUCUGGGAUGGACUCGCGGCCUAUCAGCUUGUUGGUGAGGUAGUGGCUCACCAAGGCGUCGACGGGUAGCCGGCCUGAGAGGGUGACCGGCCACACUGGGACUGAGACACAGCCCAGACUCCUACGGGAGGCAGCAGUGGGGAAUAUUGCACAAUGGGCGCAAGCCUGAUGCAGCAACGCCGCGUGCGGGAUGACGGCCUUCGGGUUGUAAACCGCUUUUAGUAGGGAAGAAGGGCUUCGGCUUGACGGUACCUGCAGAAAAAGGACCGGCUAACUACGCGCCAGCAGCCGCGGUAAAAC